GUUAAGUUCAGCUUUAGGGUGAUGAUUUGAGGUGUGGUUAUUGUCAGAGUCAGAGUAAGGGUUAGUAUUAUUUUUAGAGUUAGGGAUAAUACUCGAAUUAGAGAUAGGGUUAAGGCUAAGUGUAUGGUUAGGUUUUGUGUUAAGGUUUGGGCAAGAAUUACAACUAGGGCUAAUGUCAGGUAUAGGGUUACAGUUAGGUUAGGAUUAGCAUUAGGGCUAUGGAUCAGUUUUGUUUUAGUCUAGGGCUUGGGUAGGGCUAGUUUUAGGGUUAACGAUAGUGUUAGGGCUAGUGGUAUGGUGAGGUUUAGGCUUAGGGAUAGGUUUAGAUUUAGAGUUAUGGUUAGAUCUAGGGUUAGAGCUAGGGCUAAUGUUAGGGCUAAAUUUAGGUAAGUGUUAGGGUUAUGGCAAGGGAUAGGGGUAGAUCUAAGUAUAAGGCUAGGGUGAAAUUUAGAGUUAUUCUUAGUGCUAAUGUUAGGGUUAGGGUUAGGGCUAAAUUAAGGCUAGGAUCAGUUAGGUCUAGGAUUACUCUAGGGUUAGAGUUAGGGUUAGAUUUAGGGGAAGAUAUG
rnacentral:lncRNA from 1 species